rnacentral:lncRNA from 1 species
UCGAAUUUCCUCGGCGACUCGCCAUAGUAGGCACGGAGGACAAGCUUCCCACCAGCGUUGUCCUCGUUUGGGUUUUCAGCGAAUGUGCAGUUCACCACAACCACCGUGUACACCCGACCGUAGCCCCAAUCGGGAAGCAUUUUGUAGGCUUUGGCCCUCAAGGAAGCUGAACCAUUGCUAGAGAUCCACUCGCAUUUGUACCAAGGACGGCCGUAGACGUGAAGAGGCUUGGAAGCCAGACCCACAACAGCGAAUGUCCGAGGACCGCCGCGGUAAGCUCCCAUUAACACGAAGAGAGAGGCCGCGUUGCCGUAGGCGUAGAAGAGGCGCUUGUUAGGGUCUGCGUUGGAGCUGGCCUUUGGAGUGGAGACCUUUUUUUCAGAGACGGAGGAGGAUGAGGGCGGUGUAUACGGGAGGAUGGAUGCAUUACCGGUGGCGAUGGUGGUGGAGGUGGCGGUGGCGGCGGCGGCGGUGGCGGAACAGCGGCUGGUGGUGGAGAUGAGGUUUUCGUAGUAGGGCUGGAGAUUCCAGAUGACCAUGACAAGGGUGAGGGCCAGUAAUGUGGCAACCAGGGGCUUAGUUUCGAAACAUAGGAAUAAUUUGCCGACGGAGUUGCCGGGGACGGUAGCCGGUGAGGCGUCUUUCCU